rnacentral:rRNA from 1 species
UACGUAGGGUGCAAGCGUUGUCCGGAAUUAUUGGGCGUAAAGAGCUCGUAGGCGGUUUGUCGCGUCGAAUGUGAAAACCCGGGGCUCAACCCCGGGCCUGCAUUCGAUACGGGCAGACUAGAGUUCGGUAGGGAGUCUGGAAUUCCCGGUGUAGCGGUGAAAUGCGCAGAUAUCGGGAGGAACACCGGUGGCGAAGGCGGUUCUCUGGG